rnacentral:rRNA from 1 species
UACGUAGGGGGCUAGCGUUGUCCGGGAUCAUUGGGCGUAAAGCGCGUGUAGGCGGUCCGGUAAGUCCGCUGUGAAAGUCGGGGGCUCAACCCUCGAAUGCCGGUGGAUACUGUCGGGCUAGAGUGCGGAAGAGGCGAGUGGAAUUCCUGGUGUAGCGGUGAAAUGCGCAGAUAUCAGGAGGAACACCAAUUGCGAAGGCAGCUCGCUGGGACGUUACUGACGCUGAGACGCGAAAGCGUGGGGAGCAAACAGG